GACGAACGCUGGCGGCGUGCCUAAUACAUGCAAGUAGAACGCUGAAGGAGGAGCUUGCUUCUCUGGAUGAGUUGCGAACGGGUGAGUAACGCGUAGGUAACCUGCCUGGUAGCGGGGGAUAACUAUUGGAAACGAUAGCUAAUACCGCAUAAGAGUAGAUGUUGCAUGACAUUUGCUUAAAAGUUGCAAUUGCAUCACUACCAGAUGGACCUGCGUUGUAUUAGCUAGUUGGUGGGGUAACGGCUCACCAAGGCGACGAUACAUAGCCGACCUGAGAGGGUGAUCGGCCACACUGGGACUGAGACACGGCCCAGACUCCUACGGGAGGCAGCAGUAGGGAAUCUUCGGCAAUGGACGGAAGUCUGACCGAGCAACGCCGCGGGAGUGAAGAAGGGUUUCGGAUCGUAAAGCUCUGUUGUAAGAGAAGAACGAGUGUGAGAGUGGAAAGUUCACACUGUGACGGUAGCUUACCAGAAAGGGACGGCUAACUACGUG
rnacentral:rRNA from 1 species